rnacentral:tRNA from 1 species
UGCGGGGUGGAGCAGUUAGUAGCUCACAGGGCUCAUAACCCUGAGGUCGUAGGUGCAAGUCCUACCCCCGCUACCA